AUCAUCAUAGGCCUCCUCGGCUGACAGAGAGCAGAGGUGAGACUGAAAAAGGAACAGAUCCUAUGAGUUGAUGAGAUGCAAAAGAGCUACUUUCCUGGAUGUGAAAAAUGGGAACAUGCCUUUCCUCCAAUCAAUACUUCCUCAGAGAAGACACCUGGAUGCCAUGCAGCAGACAAGCUAAAAUUCUGCGUUUGCCGGACAUAAACUGAUUGUUUGGAAAGAAUCAUGGCCUCAGUUCCUCAUCAGUAAAAUAUUUGACCCUUCACUUCAGAAAGACGACUGAGAAAAGAGUAAGAAGAUUCUCUACCCUUUCUGUCUGUCCUGUGGGCUGCUAUAAACUCACUUUGACAGCCAACCCAAUUCCAGUGAGUAAUAAUUGACACACAGAAAACACACAUGGUUUGGUCUACCUUCACAGUCAGCACCUUGGGAACAACAACAAUUGCAGCCACACUUCCCAGCAUAUGAAUUCUCUUUUGCCACUAUUGGACAAGAAAGAAACCGUCAUGCAACCAACAAGAUGAAUCAUCAGUGGGUUUAAGGGGGUUGAGCUGAGCACAUGGAACCACUGCUGUUGCUUUUAUGGGUGUAAGGGAGCGAGGUUAAAGAUAAGUGAAAUGCAAAUAGAAAAGAAAAACAAAAGACAGUGAUGCUUUCCUAUGCAAUACCAUACCAACCACAACAAGAUGCCUAUGAGUAUGGCAGACAACUCGGCCUCUCACAACCAGUCAGGAUUCAUAACCAAAAACCAAAACUAAAAUUCCUGGCAGCCAGUCAGCAAAGGUCACAGAAAUCACCAUGCAGCACAACCUGACCCAGGCGCUGCAGUUAAUGCAGAAUGCUGCGGCACAAUUGCUGACAUGAGUAAGGUCCUAUCAGCACAUAAUACCUCUGCUCUGAAAUCUGUAUGUGCUUUCCAGGUGCCACAUAGUACUUGUUCUGCUCUUGUAAGAAAUCAGUCCUGUAAUGUGGCAGCACCUAUGCUUUGGAACUCCUUGUCUAUUGACAUUACACAGACGCCUCUUUUCAGCACCUGCUAAAACCAUUUUUGUUUAGGCAAGCCUUUUCAGGCAUGUAGAAGUUAUUGUGUUUUUAAAUCUGUUUUAACUCAUUGUUGGUUUUAUUAUUUUGAAUGUUUUUAAAUACCCAUCUUUAACUGUUUUUGCCAAUAAUUUUAUUGUUUUAAUUCCUUCUAUAAAUCGCUUUGAGAUUUUUUUCAAUAAAGUAGUAAAGGUAAAGGUGUCCCCGCACUUAUAGUGCGAGUCGUUUCCAACUCUUAGGGUGACGUCUUGCGACGUUUACAAGGCAGACCGUAUAUAUGGGGUGGGAUUGCCAGUUCCUUCCCCGGCCUUUCUUUACCCCCCAGCAUAUGCUGGGUACUCAUUUUACCGACCACGGAUGGAUGGAAGGCUGAGUGGACCUCGACCCCUUUUACCGGAGAUUCGACUUCCUCCUUCCGUUGGAAUCGAACUCCGGCCGUGAGCAGAGCUUCAGCUGUGUUACCGCCACUUACCACUCUGUGCCAU